rnacentral:rRNA from 1 species
UACGUAGGUGGCAAGCGUUGUCCGGAUUUACUGGGCGUAAAGAGCGCGCAGGCGGUCUUGUAAGUCGAAUGUGAAAGCCCCCUGGCUCAACCGGGGAGGGUCAUUCGAUACUGCUCGACUCGAAGGCAGGAGAGGGAAGCGGAAUUCCCGGUGUAGUGGUGAAAUGCGUAGAUAUCGGGGAGGAACACCAGUGGCGAAGGCGG